ensembl:lncRNA
UUCUUGGCAUCCUUUCACUCCUGACACAUGACCCAGUGCACAUCAGUGCAGCUCUAUCUCCGCCUGAAAGCGCCUGAAAGCAGCAUGAUGAAGGCGGUUCCUGUGUCGGUUGGGUGGGGGCUAUAAAAGGUGCGACUGCGCGCCUCCUGUUUCAAUUGCCUUUCCUCCAUCGAGCGCAGCAGUUUCCCAUCACAUCAGCAUGAAGAAGCUAAGCAUCGUUUUCGUCGCAGUCCUGCUGCUGGCUCUCAAUCUUACCUCCCAGGUGGCCGAGGCACAAGGUAAAAGCGGAACCGGAGGCACCAACACCCAGAACUCGACUACAGCCGCACCGUCGAGCGCCAGCGGGAGUCCCGCCGCCUUCACGCUGCUCGUCGCUCCGCUGCUUCUGUCCACGGUUCUCCUGCACGGCUGGUCCGGAUGAUCUGAUCCGCGCUGGACAUUCGGAAGCCGGCAGGGGACACAACGUUAGUGUUUAAUAAAAGGCAGAAAAAGGAAAUCACAUAAAGUAGGGAGCUUAACUAUUUACUGUUGAGCGGGCGAAACGAGCGCGACGCGCCCCGGGCCCCGUCGCGCCCCGGGCCGCGCCCUGCUCCUUUCCGCAUCCUGCUCUUCAUCAACUCUGAAACGCAACCAAUCCUCCCGCCAGUAACGGAACAUGCUCGAUGAUAAUUCAGAAAUAUUGAACCCUGUGGAAAACAUGUGUAUUCAUGUGUCUGACAACGACUGUAUGUAAAUGAGUUCUGUACUUUCAGAAUGAUGCAAAUCUGAUGUUUGACAUGUGAAUGCUGUGAAAUUAAACUUUAAAUUGUAAAAAAUAUAUAGUCCAGUGUUUU